GAGACAAAUCUAAAAUUUUUUAUUGUAACCAACUAAAAUAUAACACUAAAAAUUUUGUUUGCACAUAAUGGCCCAUAAUCAUACAAUACAUAAUUAUAGUAGGUGUGAAUUUGAUGAAUAAUUAAAAUGCAUACCCUCAAUAAUUCGACAACAUGAUGCAAUCAACUAGUUUGCAAUUCUAAACAAAACUACAAUACGACAAGUAACCCACAAGAUUGUUUAUCAUCAUUCUCAUGAUCAUCCCGAAAAUUGUAACUAAUUUCCUCAAGAACAGAACACACCAUAUUCUGCAAGGAUUCUUUUACAAUAAAUUAUAAUGUAAUGCUCUUAACUACAUGAAAAUUCAAAACUCAGAGAAAAUCAGUAGAAAAAACAAGAACAAGUAGAGGGAUUAUGAUGAUCAUGGUUCUUGAUCCUUGAAUCAGAGCCGUUGAUGAGGACUGAUCUUGAUGAGGUGGCUUUCUGUAAUAAUAGGGAAA
rnacentral:lncRNA from 1 species